UACGUAGGGGGCAAGCGUUGUCCGGAUUUAUUGGGCGUAAAGAGCGUGUAGGCGGCCAGACAGGUCCGUUGUGAAAACUAGAGGCUUAACCUCUAGACGUCGAUGGAAACCGUCUGGCUAGAGUCCGGAAGAGGAGAAUGGAAUUCCUGGUGUAGCAGUGAAAUGCGCAGAUAUCGGGAGGAACACCAGUGGCGAAGGCGGCAUCCUGGACCGGUAUUGACGCUGAGGCGCGAAAGCUAGGGGAGCAAACGGG
rnacentral:rRNA from 1 species